rnacentral:sRNA from 1 species
UCCCUUGGGCUGGACCCCUCUCUACAGCUAGGAGCCAAUGGCAGAAGACAAAACCAAACCGAGUGAGUUGGACCAAGGGAAGUAUGAUGCUGAUGACAACGUGAAGAUCAUCUGCCUGGGAGACAGCGCAGUGGGCAAAUCCAAACUCAUGGAGAGAUUUCUCAUGGAUGGCUUUCAGCCACAGCAGCUGUCCACGUACGCCCUGACCCUGUACAAGCACACAGCCAUGGUAGAUGGCAAGACCAUCCUUGUGGGUAAGUGGCACAGGGCCAAGACAUGCUGACCCUCAGGAAAGAGGAAAUGGGAGACGAGGGGAGGUGAGGGAAGGUUCAUAAGGAGAGAGUCCACAGGGAGAAAAUGAGACCCCAGGCAGGGACAAGGGGUGCUAGAGAGAACCCAGAGAGCCAGGAGCCAGGAGGCCAUGGAGGGUGGAAGGAGGCAUGCAGGGGCCAAGUCCCAGCCCUCUGACCUGGCGUCCAGGCCAGCACCUGUGCAGGACAGGGUUCAGGAAAGGAGAAGUCAGGGGGCUGUACCCACCUCAGGGAAGAAGAAUAUAAGAGGCCUUCGACGAGGCAGUAGUUUUCCUAGCUUCAGGGGUUCUUACUCAGCCAGUUUGAAACAUUAUCUCCCACA